UCCGCUUCCGGCCAAGGCUGCGGGAAGAUGGCGGCGGCUGUGGCUGCCUCAGCCUUGACGGUCACCUUCGGGCGGCUGGUGUCCUCGUGCAGCCGCAGCAUCCUGAGAUCUUCGGGACCCGCAGCGGCUUCCCUUUGGUCUGCUUCUCGAAGAUUGAGUUCACAGAGCACUUCAUCUCCACAAGGGUAAUACCAAAAUAUAUGUUCCUAAAACAUCCCUGAGUUCACCACCUUGGCCGGAAGUUGUCCUGCCAGACCCGGUUGAGGAGAGCAGACACCACACAGAGGUCGUGCGGAAGGUGAACGAGCUCAUCGCCACCGGGCAGUACGGCAGGCUCUUUGCUGUGGUGCACUUUGCUGGCCGCCAGUGGAAGGUGACCUCCGAAGACCUGAUCUUAGUUGAAAACGCACCGGACAUUGCAUGUGGAGAGAGGAUUCGACUGGAGAAGGUCCUGCUGGUUGGGGCUGAGAACUUCACGCUGCUUGGCAAGCCACUCCUCGGAAAGGAUCUUGUUCGAAUAGAAGCCACCAUCAUUGAAAGGACAGAAUCGUGGCCAAGAAUCAACAUGAAAUUUAGGAAGAGGAAAAACUACAGGAGGAAAAGAAUCAUCGUGACCCCGCAGACCGUCCUCCGGAUAAACAGCAUUGAGAUCGCGCCGGGUUUGUUGUGACCGCCAAGCUCGUGUUCACAGAAAUGUAAAAGUAAAUUCUUGUUUUCCAAGGA